UACAGAGGGUGCGAGCGUUAAUCGGAAUUACUGGGCGUAAAGCGUGCGUAGACGGUUAUUUAAGUCGGGUGUGAAAGCCCCGGGCUCAACCUGGGAAUUGCAUUCGAGACUGAAUAGCUAGGGUACGGUAGAGGGAAGUGGAAUUUCCGGUGUAGCGGUGAAAUGCGUAGAUAUCGGAAGGAACACCAGUGGCGAAAGCGGCUUCCUGGUCCAGCACCGACGUUCAGGCACGAAAGCGUGGGAGCAAAC
rnacentral:rRNA from 1 species